CCACCCGACUGCUUUCCCUGCUGCCUCCCUCUUUCACAUGAAAACUUUAAAAAUCCAGAUUGUAAUUCAUCUUUCCACCGUUGCACACAGCACCGGUCUGAUGGACAGAAGUGUGUGGUACCAAUUAGAUCUGCAGCUCUGAUUCCCUGCCUGGGAUUAGGCUUCUGUGCAAUUUGCUUGAGUUUGGACAACUCAAAUAUCAGAUAACAUUAAGGUUUACAUUCUCCGUCGAAACCUGUCCCAGGAAUUUACUGAUGUUUGCAGCAUCCGAUUACUCCAUGGCCAGAGAAGGCCAAGAGGAGAACCUUCUAUUUUUCUUGUUGACCUUUGAAAAGUAGCAUCCUGUGACUUCCUCCAUAAAGCCCGUGACCUUCAAGCGUCUAAACCUUCAACUUUUCCACAAAUUAUGCUGCUUUUUUUCCCAGUGUUUUAUCUAACAGAUAUUAGAAUGGCAUCAGUGUUUGCUUUUGCUGAAAGGAAGCAGAGUCCUGGGAGAAAGAGCCGCUGCCUGUGAUUGCACGGCCUUCCCUUGACGGUACCUUUCCCCUGGCAUGUGAGCCCUCAGCCGACUGGGGAUGCUUUCAAAUGAGACAGGAAACAGUUUAGGAUUCUUUUUCCUUUGCCUGUUCUUUAGAGGUCACCUGGCUCCUCAAGGUUUCUUCUUGGGCCAGCCUCACCUGCAACUCUGUGGGUGACCUCCAUCUGCUUGCAUGGCUUCAGUCUGCCAUCUUCCAAAAGGACAGCUCUUGGCUUUCAGACCCAAUUGACCACUGAUAUUUCUGCCUUCUGGUCCCAGGUGAGUUAAAAUCCUGUUCCCAUCUCUUGGCU
rnacentral:lncRNA from 1 species